GAAACAAAAUUACGUAUUUAUAACAAAACAGCAGGUUAUUCUGUCUAAAGAAAAAAAAACAUAUCUAAUUAGGAUUUAUGUUUUUUUCAAAUUUUUCUACCUAAGUUCUAACCACUCUCUUAAAGGUCGCCAGAUGAUUCCUCAUUUAAGGGUCAAACUCAGCGGCGAGGCUGCGACACAAACACCGGCAUCACUAAGACUUUGGUCUGCACGGCAGAAGAAGGCACCGCGCUCCCCUCCCGCACCAGGCGGGACCUUUCAGUGCCUGGUGAUUUCCUCCUCCACCUUCCCCGAGAACGCAGCCUGCCCCCGACACCACCCGCCUCGGCCUCUGUGCCCCGGCCGCUCCGUGCGGGCGCAGGGAGCGCUGUCCGGACAGGCCCCACACGGCCCAGCACGGCGCUGCCAUGGCCACAGCGCGGGGGGAGCGGGCACCGCCCGCUCCGCACGGGACCACACAGCCGGGCAUGGAGGAACGGCCACCCCGGGCAGACUCACGGGGAGCCGCGGCUACCUGCGGAGCCGGGCUGACAACCGCCUGCCCAGCGCCCGGAAGAGGAGGGCCAGCCCGGUGACGCCGCGCUCCUCCCCGGGGCCGGGCCGGGGCGGGGAACGGCGGCGAAGCCCGGGGCGGGGAAAGGCGGGGAGACGACGGAGAAGGGCCGAGCUGUGCCCUGGAAGCGGAACCGCUGCUGCGGUGACUUCCUGCCUCGGGAGGAAGGAGCGGUGGUUGAAGUUGCGCGUCGGGGUCUGCGCUGGCCCGAGGCACCGGCGGCGGCCGCCCGGGAGGAUGCGGCGGGCAGAGAUGAAGCCUGGGAAAUCAUCACAUCUAAAGGAUUUACUUGGAGUA
ensembl:lncRNA